UACGUAGGGUGCAAGCGUUAAUCGGAAUUACUGGGCGUAAAGCGUGCGCAGGCGGUUGUGCAAGACAGGUGUGAAAUCCCCGGGCUUAACCUGGGAACUGCAUUUGUGACUGCAUAGCUGGAGUGCGGCAGAGGGGGAUGGAAUUCCGCGUGUAGCAGUGAAAUGCGUAGAUAUGCGGAGGAACACCGAUGGCGAAGGCAAUCCCCUGGGCCUGCACUGACGCUCAUGCACGAAAGCGUGGGGAGCAAACAGG
rnacentral:rRNA from 1 species